AAAGAUAACAAGCAUCAUAAACUAGUUAAUGCGCUAAAGUUCAAGGGCUAUUCCAUCUCACCUGACUCAGUUUUCUCAGAAGUUGGGAACAGUGUGGAAUCCAAGGGCAGGGCAAGGCCUGCAGUCUCCAUGAUUGACAUAGACCAAAUUGGUACAACCGAAUUAGGUGAAUAUGAAGUUGUAAUUAUACCCGAUAUGACACUUUCAAUCGAGAGUUACGUUCAAAUCCUCACGAGAAUGGCUCGCUACACUGUGAAUGGCGUAUUGCAUAGCUUGUUUACCAGAGAAGACGCAGAGCUUGCUGGACCGCUGACGAAGAUCCUUGAACAAUGUGGGCAGGCAGUGCCUGAAGCCCUAAGAAAAAUGUCUUUUUCAUAAGCCAUGCCAGAACGUCGACAUUUGAGUUUGCUUUUUUUCCUUUUUCGAUUACCAGUUUUGCCAAAUCUUGUCAGUUUAUGAUAAAUUUCAUCUUGCUAGCUUUGUCAACUUGCGUAAGAACUUCUACAACGAUAUAAUGUUAUAUAUAACACUGAAUUUUCAUUUUCAA